rnacentral:rRNA from 1 species
AUUGAACGCUGGCGGCAGGCCUAACACAUGCAAGUCGAGCGCGAAAGCACUUCGGUGUGAGUAGAGCGGCGGACGGGUGAGUAACGCGUAGGAAUCUACCUAGUAGUGGGGGACAACUCGGGGAAACUCGAGCUAAUACCGCAUAAGCCCUACGGGGGAAAGCGGGGGACCUUCGGGCCUCGUGCUAUUAGAUGAGCCUGCGUUGGAUUAGCUAGUUGGUGGGGUAAAGGCCUACCAAGGCGACGAUCCAUAGCUGGUCUGAGAGGAUGAUCAGCCACACCGGGACUGAGACACGGCCCGGACUCCUACGGGAGGCAGCAGUGGGGAAUAUUGCGCAAUGGGCGAAAGCCUGACGCAGCCAUGCCGCGUGUGUGAAGAAGGCCUUCGGGUUGUAAAGCACUUUCAAUUGGGAGGAAAGGCUCACGGUUAAUAACCGUGAGCUGUGACGUUACCUUUAGAAGAAGCACCGGCUAACUCCGUGCCAGCAGCCGCGGUAAUACGGAGGGUGCAAGCGUUAAUCGGAAUUACUGGGCGUAAAGCGCGCGUAGGUGGUCUGUUAAGUCGGAUGUGAAAGCCCCGGGCUCAACCUGGGAACUGCAUUCGAUAAGAGUCAAGUGCGAGAGAGGGAGGUAG